UAGGACCUUAGAGAUCAGUCACCUAAUCUAACUCUUUCCUUUUCCUGAUGAAGUAACAGGUCUGGAGAGAUGAAGAACCUUGACCCCAGUCACAGAGCUUCGAGUUAAAAUAAGCAAUUUCCUAAUGGUGGUUUCCUUUCCCUGGACAGAACUCAUGAGGAAGCUGAGAUUCAGAGCUUUGAAAUCACUUUUUCAAGUUCAAUCAACGAGAUAACUGAGAAGAGGUUAAGAACGAGUUUGAAGACUUUUCUGUCUUAAGCAAAUCAUCUGUGCUUAUGAUUUUCUGGGCAGAGUCAAGAAAUGAUUUGAAGAAGGGUGGAGCAAAGCUGUAACAUGAAGGAAAAAGAAAUACCCACCAGGGACCUACUUUUGUAAUGCACAUUCCAUUUUCUCUCCCUCAUGUAACUGGGUUCGUGCUUUUUAAUUCCUUCCACAUUUUCUGUAGUAAUUGUCAAAUACUUGGCUUCUGACUUCACUUGUUCUUGGACGCCAGAGCCCCCCGGGAAUAUUGUUUAUUUUCGGAAAAUAAACCUUAGAGUUCAUGAGGGAUGAGUGAAGGGGCUCCUGGGGGCAGGGUCUGUCGGUUCCUAAUGACAGGAAAGGGGCCUCAAAGUUCAAAAGGAAA